CAUAGUUAAUCUGUUUCAGCAUUGUUCAGGUAACCGAUAUUAUUCAUACGACUGUUUAGAUGUAACUUGCUGCAGUUGUCUGCUGAUUUAUAUUUUGUUGAAGCUGACUGUUUGCUAGUUUAGCUAACAGUAGUUUCGUUUUAGAUGAUUAGUUGGUUGUUUUUCUGCUGUGGAGUUGUUGCAUGCUUGUCUAAGUUGAGUGUCUGCUUUUAACCUGAAAGCUUACUAGUACUCUUAUGGUCUUAUUUAUGAUUGGACUUAGGAGUGUACCUCAUUUAGGGUUACCUACUUCUUUUUUAGAGUACCGGAGUCUAUUGCCAUGUAAACCACAAUCAACCUACUUUGAUUUAUUCUGCUAUUUUUGCAGAUGUUUCUAUUUCAAGUGUUAGAGGAUCAACAUUUUCUCUGUUCUUCUCCAUCGGAAGAAAAGAUAUGGAUGAUAUUAGAGCACUCUCUCCAGAAACCUCUGAAUGAACUUUGGUCGUAGACCACUUUAUUGCGUUUACACAAUAUGGUUGAAAGAACUGGAAAUACAAGGCAUGGUUGGAUA